GGUGGGUUGGCUUGUCAGGUUGAUUCCGGUAACGAACGAGACCUCAGCCUGCUAAAUAGUCACGUCCGGUUCGCCGGGCGGCAGACUUCUUAGAGGGACUAUUAGCGACUUUCAGCUAAUUGAAGUAUGAGGCAAUAACAGGUCUGUGAUGCCCUUAGAUGUUCUGGGCCGCACGCGCGCUACACUGACGCGUUCAACGAGCCUCCUGGUCACGAGAGGGCCGGGUAAUCUUGUAAACCGCGUCGUGAUGGGGCUAGAGCUUUGUAAUUAUUGCUCUUCAACGAGGAAUGCCUAGUAAGCGCGAGUCAUCAACUCGCGUUGAUUACGUCCCUGCCCUUUGUACACACCGCCCGUCGCUCCUUCCGAUUGGGUGUGCUGGUGAAGAGUUCGGACUGGCCAAGUGCUCGAAAGGGCGCCGGGCCGGGAAGUUCUU
rnacentral:rRNA from 5 species